rnacentral:tRNA from 1 species
GGGGAUUUAGCUCAGUGGUAGAGCGCUUGCCUAAAAUGCAAAUACCUGAGUUUUAUUCCCAGAAUCCUUA